UGCAGUCGAGCGCCUCGCAAGAGGAGCGGCAGACGGGUGAGUAACGCGUGGGAAUCUACCCAUCCCUACGGAACAACUCCGGGAAACUGGAGCUAAUACCGUAUACGCCCUUCGGGGGAAAGAUUUAUCGGGGAUGGAUGAGCCCGCGUUGGAUUAGCUAGUUGGUGGGGUAAAGGCCUACCAAGGCGACGAUCCAUAGCUGGUCUGAGAGGAUGAUCAGCCACAUUGGGACUGAGACACGGCCCAAACUCCUACGGGAGGCAGCAGUGGGGAAUAUUGGACAAUGGGCGCAAGCCUGAUCCAGCCAUGCCGCGUGAGUGAUGAAGGCCUUAGGGUUGUAAAGCUCUUUCACCGGAGAAGAUAAUGACGGUAUCCGGAGAAGAAGCCCCGGCUAACUUCGUGCCAGCAGCCGCGGUAAUACGAAGGGGGCUAGCGUUGUUCGGAAUUACUGGGCGUAAAGCGCACGUAGGCGGAUAUUUAAGUCAGGGGUGAAAUCCCAGAGCUCAACUCUGGAACUGCCUUUGAUACUGGGUAUCUUGAGUAUGGAAGAGGUUAGUGGAAUUGCGAGUGUAGAGGUGAAAUUCGUAGAUAUUCGCAGGAACACCAGUGGCGAAGGCGGCUAACUGGUCCAUAACUGACGCUGAGGUGCGAAAGCGUGGGGAGCAAACAGGAUUAGAUACCCU
rnacentral:rRNA from 1 species